ACACUUGAAUAAAUCCAAUGUUUUCACUCCUUUGGCUUAUGGAAAGAAAAAUUGUUUUUUCAACUAUAAUUUUGGAAUUGUUCCGCUAAUCAUAAACACAGACAUAGCAAAGACAAGUGCCUACAAUUCCUGACUAAGCAAACAAAUAAAAAAUGAUGUAGCUGGGGAAAACUUCUACCUAGCAUUUAAAAGUGGAUAAAAUCAAUAAUGAGAAAUUGAAAUUGAGUUCAUGAAUUACAUCUUGGUUAACCAACUCCAAUUCAGUUUCAGUUUGAUGAUAAGAAAAAAAGGAAAAAAAUCCAAUAAAAGUGGGUCUCAUCGUUUUUGUAGGAAUCAAAGCUAAUUCUCCACACAAUACUUUCCUUUUAUUCCUAAAAACAAAGACUCUUCCUCCGUGAUUUCAGGGUUUUUAAAAGCUCAACUCCAAUAUAUAUGUAUAUAUAGCAACAUCCUUUAUAUCCAACAAGGCAAAAGCAUCCAACUUUUAUAAAUACAAAAGCGACCACAGAACAAAUAACAUUACCAUCAGAAUAAAAAAAAGGAACUGUUAAUUUUCCAAAGAAACAAACAGAAAAUUCAAGGAACCAAUGAAAUGAUUCAUUAGAACAACGAAUAACCAAAAAAACCCACCAUCGAAACAAG
rnacentral:misc_RNA from 1 species